GUUGUAGGACACUCUAUACGGAGUUACAAAAGAACAUGUUAGACGAAUCAUCUGGAAAGAUGAAUCAAAGAAGGUAAUAAUCCUGUAGUCGAAAACAUAUUCUCUCUUGAGUGGAUCCUGAGUACGACGGAGCACGUGAAAUUCCGUCGGAAUCUGGGAGGACCAUCUCCUAAGGCUAAAUACUCUCUAGUGACCGAUAGUGAACCAGUACCGUGAGGGAAAGGUGAAAAGUACCCCGGAAGGGGAGUGAAAGAGAACUUGAAACCGUGUGCUUACAAGUAGUCAGAGCCCGUUAAUGGGUGAUGGCGUGCCUUUUGUAGAAUGAACCGGCGAGUUACGAUCUGAUGCAAGGUUAAGCAGCAAAUGUGGAGCCGCAGCGAAAGCGAGUCUGAAUAGGGCGUUGAGUAUUUGGUCGUAGACCCGAAACCAGGUGAUCUACCCUUGGUCAGGUUGAAGUUCAGGUAACACUGAAUGGAGGACCGAACCGACUUACGUUGAAAAGUGAGCGGAUGAACUGAGGGUAGCGGAGAAAUUCCAAUCGAACUUGGAGAUAGCUGGUUCUCUCCGAAAUAGCUUUAGGGCUAGCCUCAAGUGAUGAUUAUUGGAGGUAGAGCACUGUUUGGACGAGGGGCCCCUCUCGGGUUACCGAAUUCAGACAAACUCCGAAUGCCAAUUAAUUUAACUUGGGAGUCAGAACAUGGGUGAUAAGGUCCGUGUUCGAAAGGGAAACAGCCCAGACCACCAGCUAAGGUCCCAAAAUAUAUGUUAAGUGGAAAAGGAUGUGGCGUUGCCCAGACAACUAGGAUGUUGGCUUAGAAGCAGCCAUCAUUUAAAGAGUGCGUAAUAGCUCACUAGUCGAGUGACACUGCGCCGAAAAUGUACCGGGGCUAAACAUAUUACCGAAGCUGUGGAUUGUCCUUUGGACAAUGGUAGGAGAGCGUUCUAAGGGCGUCGAAGCAUGAUCGCAAGGACAUGUGGAGCGCUUAGAAGUGAGAAUGCCGGUGUGAGUAGCGAAAGACGGGUGAGAAUCCCGUCCACCGAUUGACUAAGGUUUCCAGAGGAAGGCUCGUCCGCUCUGGGUUAGUCGGGUCCUAAGCUGAGGCCGACAGGCGUAGGCGAUGGAUAACAGGUUGAUAUUCCUGUACCACCUAGUAUCGUUUUAAUCGAUGGGGGGACGCAGUAGGAUAGGCGAAGCGUGCUGUUGGAGUGCACGUCCAAGCAGUAAGGCUGAGUGUUAGGCAAAUCCGGCACUCAUAAGGCUGAGCUGUGAUGGGGAGAGGAAAUUGUUUCCUCGAGUCGUUGAUUUCACACUGCCGAGAAAAGCCUCUAGAUAGAUAACAGGUGCCCGUACCGCAAACCGACACAGGUAGUCAAGAUGAGAAUUCUAAGGUGAGCGAGCGAACUCUCGUUAAGGAACUCGGCAAAAUGACCCCGUAACUUCGGGAGAAGGGGUGCUCUUUAGGGUUCACGCCCAGAAGAGCCGCAGUGAAUAGGCCCAAGCGACUGUUUAUCAAAAACACAGGUCUCUGCUAAACCGUAAGGUGAUGUAUAGGGGCUGACGCCUGCCCGGUGCUGGAAGGUUAAGAGGAGUGGUUAGCUUCUGCGAAGCUACGAAUCGAAGCCCCAGUAAACGGCGGCCGUAACUAUAACGGUCCUAAGGUAGCGAAAUUCCUUGUCGGGUAAGUUCCGACCCGCACGAAAGGCGUAACGAUUUGGGCACUGUCUCAACGAGAGACUCGGUGAAAUCAUAGUACCUGUGAAGAUGCAGGUUACCCGCGACAGGACGGAAAGACCCCGUGGAGCUUUACUGUAGCCUGAUAUUGAAAUUCGGCACAGCUUGUACAGGAUAGGUAGGAGCCUUUGAAACGUGAGCGCUAGCUUACGUGGAGGCGUUGGUGGGAUACUACCCUAGCUGUGUUGGCUUUCUAACCCGCACCACUUAUCGUGGUGGGAGACAGUGUCAGGCGGGCAGUUUGACUGGGGCGGUCGCCUCCUAAAAGGUAACGGAGGCGCUCAAAGGUUCCCUCAGAAUGGUUGGAAAUCAUUCAUAGAGUGUAAAGGCAUAAGGGAGCUUGACUGCGAGACCUACAAGUCGAGCAGGGUCGAAAGACGGACUUAGUGAUCCGGUGGUUCCGCAUGGAAGGGCCAUCGCUCAACGGAUAAAAGCUACCCCGGGGAUAACAGGCUUAUCUCCCCCAAGAGUUCACAUCGACGGGGAGGUUUGGCACCUCGAUGUCGGCUCAUCGCAUCCUGGGGCUGUAGUCGGUCCCAAGGGUUGGGCUGUUCGCCCAUUAAAGCGGUACGCGAGCUGGGUUCAGAACGUCGUGAGACAGUUCGGUCCCUAUCCGUCGUGGGCGUAGGAAAUUUGAGAGGAGCUGUCCUUAGUACGAGAGGACCGGGAUGGACAUACCUCUGGUGUACCAGUUGUCGUGCCAACGGCAUAGCUGGGUAGCUAUGUAUGGACGGGAUAAGUGCUGAAAGCAUCUAAGCAUGAAGCCCCCCUCAAGAUGAGAUUUCCCAACUUCGGUUAUAAGAUCCCUCGAAGAUGACGAGGUUAAUAGGUUCGAGGUGGAAGCGUGGUGACACGUGGAGCUGACGAAUACUAAUCGAUCGAAGACUUAAUCAA
rnacentral:rRNA from 1 species